GACCUCCAGGUGCCUUCGGAGACAUGGACUGCUCCACCCCAACCCCACCCGCACACCUGGGGCUGGACCACGGGACCCAAAAGGUGUCAGAGGUCCUGUGUAGACCCUCAGUGCUCCCAGCAGUCUGUAUCGGGCCCCAGUAACACCUAAUUCUUUGUUUCUGCUCUCUGCAUGGGACAGUGAUCCAGGGAGUGAGGUACUGGCUCCCCAUUUCACAAGAGGAAGGUGAGGCUCUGGGAAGCUCAUUCUGGGCCCAAGGCCACACAGCAACAGGUGAGGGGCACCAGAGGGCAUGGGCUCAGCCCAGACACAGCUAAGUUCUCCGUGUGGGGUGAGCAACCCCCUUGGCUUCUCUCACCCUCACUUUCAGCAUGAGCACCCUUCCUGUCUCCCCAGGUGUGCCCCCAAGUCCUCUGCUCCUCAGACUAAGGGGCCCUGGAUGCCUGGCUUGGCAACACUCCUCAGAAGGUGAGGGGUGUUCACAGGGCCAGGAGCCGGCAGGAAGCCAGGGUGCAGAGUGAGGAUGAGGUCACAGUCGCAGAUAAGCACAUUCACCCUCACCUUUAUGUUGCCCUUGUUUUUCUUUUUUGUUUUGUAGCUGUUGUUGUUGAUGUUGUCAUCGUUGGACAGGACAGAGAGAAAUGGAGAGAGGAGGGGAAGACAGAGAGGAGGAGAGAAAGACAGACACCUGCAGACCUGCUUCACCGCCUGUGAAGCAAACCCCUGCAGGUGGGGAGCCAGGGGCUCCAACCGGGAUCCUUAUGCCGGUCCUUGUGCUUUGUGCCAUGUGUGCUUAACCCGCUGCGCUACAGCCCGACUCCCUCACCCUCACCUAAGAGGACAGGCUACAGUUCCUUUUGUCACUGCAGGGGAUGAUGACCUAAAAUUCUUGUUUUAUUUGUUUAUUUUAAAGUAUAAUUUAUUAUGAGUGAAAAUGAGAGAGGAGGAAGACCAGAGCACACGGUUCAGUUCUGGCAAAAGAUGGUGCCAGGGAUUGAACCUGGGGCCUCUGGGACCUCUGGGACCUCGGACAUGCAAGUUGAUGUUCUAACAGGCUAAACUGUCUCCCCAACCCUAUUUUCUUUGAUUUCUUUCUUUUUUAAGAUUUUAUUUAUUUAUUAAUGAGAAAGGAAGAGAGAGAGAGAGAGAGGGGAGACUGAACCAGACAUCACUCUGGUACAUGUGCUGCCAGAGAUUGAACUUGGGACCUCAUGCUUGACAGUUCAAUGCUUUAUCUACUGCACCACCUCCUGGGCCACCCCAGCCCUAUUUUUCUAUUUAGUUUUUAUUUAUAUAAAAGAGAAUCACUCAGCUCUGAUAUAGGGCCAUAACUAGGCCUCAGGUAUGAAAGCCCUGUGCUCCACCACUGAGCUGUCUCAUGGCACGGUUUUACUUUAUCUUUUAUGAGAGGGAGAAAUGAAAUCACUGGCACACCACUCCAGCAUAGGAAGCAUUAAGGACUCAAGCUCAGGGCCUCACACAUACAAAAUGUGCUCUCUUCCAGCUGAUCCAUCUCCCUGCCUCCCUCCCCCCCAUUUCUUUUCAGAACCAGUGCACUUUGCUGGGUAGUUACCACCUGACCGGCAUGCUGCAGCAUAGGGUCCCAGACCCUAUCAGCAGGUAAGCUGAAGGAUCAGGUCCAGCUCCUAGUGGGGCCUGGAAAGAGACUGCCACCACAGAUCUGGACUCUGCUAGCAGUUCAUCUAGUCCACACCACGGGCACUGUGCAUGGCCAUGGUUCCAUUUAAGCUCACGGGAAAUUGAAGCACAGAGAGGCUGAGUAAUGUAUACAGUGCCACACAGAGUUUAAUCCCUGGCCCAGAGGCCAGGCUUUUAACCAUACACUGCUCUGGCCUAGAGCCGCUGGGCCUGUGGGAGAGGCUGAGGGCUGCAGGCUUGCAAUGGCCUGGGAGAUCAUGUGGGAAGGUUUCUCAAGCUUGUCAGAGAUGUCUGUCAGGGCCCCCGGUCAGCUCCAAGUGACCCUGUCAGGCAUGGGGACAGGAGAAGCUGCAGCCAUGACCCAGUCCCAGUCUCCUUCCUCCUAGCCAAAUGCUUCUGGAGUCUGUGGGGAAGGGAAUGCAGGGGCAUCUAUCCAUCCCAACUUUCCAGAGGCCUUGAAGUCUAAGCUAGAUCCUAAAGGUCAAGUAGGAAUCACUCAGGCAAAGCACUGGAAUUGAGGGCCAGCCUUCCCUGGACUUCACAUCAGGAGUCAGGAGUGGCACCUUCUCUGGCCCCCAGCUCUGCUCAGCGCUGGUUGCAGUUUCCAUUCCCCACUCCUGGCCUUAGGCCCGAGGCCCUCCCACAGGAGAGAAGGCCACCGCUCACCAGAGGCUGGGCAAGCCUGGUGACAUUGUUUGGGUAGCAGGGCUAGGCCAGUGAGUGGCCCAGGCCCAUUCAAAGGCUCUAAGCUGAGAGUUGCAAGUCUGUGGGGCCCAGCCCAGAACACUUCUCCGCAUGGUGGUGACUGGAUGGCGGAGAAGAACAGAGUGUCCAGUGCCUGGGGGCGGCCUCGAUUCUAGGAGGGAACUUAAGUUUCAACCAGAGUUGGCACAACUGAGACAGCACUAGGCAGGCAGCUGGGCUGUGCCAGAGCCAAAAUGGCUUGAAGCACACACGGGGGUAUUCAUUCACACAGCAGGCAGCCUUCCUGACACCCUCUCGGCUCCGCCCUCUGAGCCACCAUCACUUCCUGGGAGCCAGUUAGCACUGCACCCCUCACAGAGCCUUGGGGGCUGGGACCCAGGGACGGGGGCCACACAGUCUGUGAGUGAUCCCUCUGAGUGCUCCCUCCAAUGUGGGACCUCCCGCUCUAAUUUAUUUAAGGAUUUCCCUGCCGACAGGACACAUGCUGUUUGAGAGUGCUUGUUACUAAAGACGUGUGUCAGGAGACCGCCUUUUAAGUGUGUGUCUGUGUCCUGUGAGGACAACUACUCGUGCUCCAGGUUCUUGGUGAAUUUUUUCAUUUGCUUUUGCAGAUAGAUGAACUUCAGAGUGCUUCUGCAUUCCGAUCUCGACCACCUCACACUGAAUAUAUGCUUUAAUUUAGGAAGGAUUGACAUCUUGACAGUAUCGAGUUGCCUAUCAGAUAUUGAAAUACUGCAGGAUUGGAGCCGUAGACUGUGCUUGGAGGAAGGGCUGAUUCUGUGUGUGUUGAGUGGAGAGCCCAGUGCACAGGAGACCUUGCUCAGGUCCUGUCUGGAUUUGGCCUGAAGGCCGAGCUGCCCCAGGGCAGCCAGCCCCUUGGUGGUGAUGUGUGUUGAGAUAGAAGAGGUGGAGGAUGGACUCCUAUAGCAUCUACCUGCCUGCACCUCAAUUCUAGAGCAACGUUAGAUUUACAGACAAGUUGCAACUAAUAAAGAGUUUCUAUAAGUC